GUGCCAGCCGCCGCGGUAAUACGUAGGGGGCAAGCGUUGUCCGGAUUUAUUGGGCGUAAAGCGCGUGUAGGCGGCCAGGCAGGUCUGACGUGAAAUCUCGAGGCUCAACCUCGAGCUGUCGUUGGAAACCGCCCGGCUAGAGUCCGGAAGAGGAGAGUGGAAUUCCUGGUGUAGCGGUGAAAUGCGCAGAUAUCAGGAAGAACACCAAUGGCGAAGGCAGCUCUCUGGGACGGUACUGACGCUGAGACGCGAAAGCGUGGGGAGCGAACAGGAUUAGAUACCCUCGUAGUCC
rnacentral:rRNA from 1 species